rnacentral:rRNA from 1 species
GAUGAACGCUGGCGGCGUGCCUAAUACAUGCAAGUCGAGCGAACAGAUGAGGAGCUUGCUCCUCUGACGUUAGCGGCGGACGGGUGAGUAACACGUGGAUAACCUACCUAUAAGACUGGGAUAACUUCGGGAAACCGGAGCUAAUACCGGAUAAUAUAUUGAACCGCAUGGUUCAAUAGUGAAAGACGGUUUUGCGGUCACUUAUAGAUGGAUCUGCGCCGCAUUGGCUAGUUGGUAAGGUAACGGCUUACCAAGGCGACGAUGCGUAGCCGACCUGAGAGGGUGAUCGGCCACACUGGAACUGAGACACGGUCAAGACGCCUACGGGAGGCAGCAGUAGGGAAUCUUCCGCAGUGGGCGAAAGCCUGACGGAGCAACGCCGCGUGAGUGAUGAAGGUCUUCGGAUCGUAAAACUCUGUUAUUAGGGAAGAACAAAUGUGUAAGUAACUAUGCCCGUCUUGACGGUAACUAAUAAGAAAGCACCGGCUAACUACGUG